CUGAAUUGACCCGUCCCGAUUUUUCGGGAGGCCAUUGGGAAUUUCCCAAUGGGGCAAUCUUAGGAAACAUCCCGGGUUUAAAAGGUCUUCGGUUGUAAAGUCNUUCUUCGGNGGAAGGGCAAGGUAAUACCUCAACAUGACGUACUCGCGAAAAGCACGGCUAAUUCGUCCAGCAGCCGGGUAAUACUGAGGGGCAAGCUUUAUCGAAUUUUGGGGUAAAGGCCAGCAGGCGUUCGUCAAUUCGAUGGAAAUCCCCGGCUCACCGUGGAAGUGCUUGGAACUGGCAGCUGGAGUCUAUAGGGGAGGUAGAUUCCAGGUUAGCGGUAAAUGGGUAGNAUCGGGGGACUACCGGGGGGAAGNCGUCUCUUGUACANGACUGACGUUCAGGUGNAAAGCGGGGGAGCAACCAGGAUUAUAUACCUUGUUGUUCCACGCGGUAACGGAUAGCGACUAGGAGGAGGUGCCUUGAGGCGUGAGUUCUGCAGCUAACGCGUUAAGUAGUCCGCCUGGGGAGUACGGUCGCAAGGUUGAAACUCAAAGGAAUUGACGGGGGCCCGCACAAGCGGUGGAGCAUGUGGUUUAAUUCGAUGCAACGCGAAGAACCUUACCUGGUCUUGACAUCCUGAGACAUUCCCAGAGAUGGAUCGGUGCCUUCGGGAACUGUGAGACAGGUGGUGCAUGGUUGUCGUCAGCUCGUGUCGUGAAAUGUUGGGUUAAGUCCCGCAACGAGCGCAACCCUUGUCCUUAGUUGCCAGCGGUCAGUCCGGCAAUUCAAAGGAGACUGCCAGUGCUAACCUGGAGGAAGGUGGGGAGGACGUCAAGUCAUCAUGGCCCUAACGCGUAGGGUUCCACACGUGUUCCAAUGGCGCAUCCAAAGAGAAGGGACCUCCAGAGAGCAAGCGGUCCUCCUAAACUGCGUUCUAGUCCGGAUNGAUUGGCAAUUGGACUCCAAGAAGUCGGAAUCGCUUGUUAUCGUAGAUCAGAAUGCUCGCGGAGAUAUACGUUCCGGGGGCCUUGCACACACCGCGUCACACCACAUGGGAGUGGGANCAAAGGAAGUAGGUAGGUAACCUUUAGGGAGGCCGCCUACCAAGGUGGACUACGAUGACUGGGGGAAGUCGUAACAAGUAGCNUAGGCGCC
rnacentral:rRNA from 1 species